rnacentral:rRNA from 1 species
UACGUAGGGUGCAAGCGUUGUCCGGAAUUAUUGGGCGUAAAGAGCUCGUAGGCGGUCUGUCGCGUCUGCUGUGAAAACUCGGGGCUUAACCCCGAGCCUGCAGUGGAUACGGGCAGACUAGAGGUAGGUAGGGGAGAAUGGAAUUCCCGGUGUAGCGGUGAAAUGCGCAGAUAUCGAGAGGAACACCUGCGGCGAAGGCGGGUUGCUGGGCCGACACUGACGCUGAUGCGCGAAAGCCAGGGGAGCGAACGGG